rnacentral:rRNA from 1 species
GACGAACGCUGGCGGCGUGCUUAACACAUGCAAGUCGAACGGAAAGGCCCUGCUUUUGUGGGGUGCUCGAGUGGCGAACGGGUGAGUAACACGUGAGUAACCUGCCCUUGACUUUGGGAUAACUUCAGGAAACUGGGGCUAAUACCGGAUAGGAGCUCCUGCUGCAUGGUGGGGGUUGGAAAGUUUCGGCGGUUGGGGAUGGACUCGCGGCUUAUCAGCUUGUUGGUGGGGUAGUGGCUUACCAAGGCUUUGACGGGUAGCCGGCCUGAGAGGGUGACCGGCCACAUUGGGACUGAGGUACGGCCCAGACUCCUACGGGGGGCAGCAGUGGGGAAUAAUGCACAAUGGGCGGAAGCCUGAUGCAGCAACGCCGCGUGCGGGAUGACGGCCUUCGGGUUGUAAACCGCUUUCGCCUGUGACGAAGCGUGAGUGACGGUAAUGGGUAAAGAAGCACCGGCUAACUACGUG